GGAGGUUAUAGCUCAGUGGUAGAGCUCAUGUCCUGGGUUCAAUCCCCAGUACCUCCA
rnacentral:tRNA from 1 species